GAUGAACGCUGGCGGCGUGCCUAAUACAUGCAAGUCGAGCGAACAGACGAGGAGCUUGCUCCUCUGACGUUAGCGGCGGACGGGUGAGUAACACGUGGAUAACCUACCUAUAAGACUGGGAUAACUUCGGGAAACCGGAGCUAAUACCGGAUAAUAUAUUGAACCGCAUGGUUCAAUAGUGAAAGACGGUUUUGCUGUCACUUAUAGAUGGAUCCGCGCCGCAUUAGCUAGUUGGUAAGGUAACGGCUUACCAAGGCAACGAUGCGUAGCCGACCUGAGAGGGUGAUGGGCCACAGUGAAACUGAGACACGGGCCAGACACCUAGGGGAGGCAGAAGUAGGGAAUCUUCCGCAAGGGGGGAAAGUUUGAAGGAGCAACGCCGGGUGAGUGAAGAAGGGCUUCGGAUCGUAAAACUCUGUUAUGGGGGAAAAACAAAUGUGUAAGUAAAUAUGCACGUCUUGAGGGUAACUAAUAAGAAAGCCACGGCUAACUACGU
rnacentral:rRNA from 1 species